UACGAAGGGGGCUAGCGUUGUUCGGAAUCACUGGGCGUAAAGGGCGCGUAGGCGGCUUUAUAAGUCGGGGGUGAAAGCCUGUGGCUCAACCACAGAAUUGCCUUCGAUACUGUAGAGCUUGAGACCGGAAGAGGUAAGUGGAACUGCGAGUGUAGAGGUGAAAUUCGUAGAUAUUCGCAAGAACACCAGUGGCGAAGGCGAGUCUCUGGACAGUUACUGACGCUGAGGCACGAAAGCUAGGGGAGCAAACAGG
rnacentral:rRNA from 1 species